rnacentral:lncRNA from 10 species
CAUCAACACUCCUGCUUCAUGGGAGGAGAGAGACGAAGCCAGCAACAGAUCGGCCUAUUCAACUCAGCAUCAGGAGAGAACAGGAGAAACCACCUGGGGAGUGGGGUCUCCAACCGUGUCGGGCGAGGACUCAGAGUUGGCAGCAGUCACUGCCAAAGGCAGGAGGAGAUAACCAGUUAGCAGGCCUGUCACAAGAUCAGCAACGCAUGAAAGACAAAAUGCUUAAAGUAUUCCUCCAAGCCCCACCUCAUUCUUCCCAGAUCCUCUAGCCUUGGAGCACAGCCUCCAACUCUUCAC